CAUUGAAAUACCUGUUCCCGUACGAUUGCCAAAGUUAACCAACGUCGAGCCUGGUCAGUAGCUGGAUGGGUGACCCCGAGAGAAUACCAGGUGCUGUAAG